GGAAGUAAAAGUCGUAACAAGAUUUCCGUAGGUGAACCUGCGGAAGGAUCAUUAAUGUAACCGGACCUGUCCUUUGCCGUAAAACGCAGUGGAUCGGGAAGGGAGAUAUCAUACACCCUGUGUUUAUUUACCUUUGUUGCUUUGGCGGGCCGUCCUUUUAGGCGUCGGCCCCGGCUGAUUGCGCCCGCCAGAGGAUCCAAACUCUUUUAUCAGUGAUGUCUGAGUACUAUAUAAUAGUUAAAACUUUCAACAACGGAUCUCUUGGUUCUG
rnacentral:misc_RNA from 1 species